ACUGCUUUCAUAGCAUAUGAAGAAGAACCGGUUCCUAAUAUAGCAGCAAUACGAAAACAAACGCAAGAGAGCACAGAGGCUUUUCAUGAGCACAGGUCAACAUAGGACUAUAGUCUAUAGGUGAUUAGUUGAUACAAUAAAACAACAUAACCACUACCAAAGGGUCUACUGAGAAGCAGAGGUUUAAUUGAGUUUGAAGCAUUUCCUCCCUUAAACAGGUCCCAAUUUGUGCGACAAUUAGGUCAGACAGAAUCAUAAAAGCGUAGAUGGAUCAUUUUCCCGGUACACAUCAAUGCAAUUGGAUUAUAUUACACAUAAAAACAUAUUUGCAUCGUUUUCAAUAGCCCUAAAUUACUAUCUUUUUUAUCUUACAGAUCCCAAUUUGUGUGCUGAAUUUUCUUAAAAAACAAAUCCAGCAAAGUUCAUAAAAUAUAGAGAAUUAGGUCAAAGAAAAAAAGAAAAUCGGAAAACAUACCAAGGGAACGCCAUAUGAAUCGGCAGUGUAGGCUUCGCCUUUUCCCCGUUCUCAUCCACUUCCCGGUGACGAUAGUUUUUAGAGGACUGCAAAUUUGGGGGAAA